CUUAUCCGAAGCGGUUACCUAAUCUUAAUAUAGUAUUGUUUUGUGAUUUUUUCACCCUCGACAUGUAAUAUUCGACAUUUAACCCUCGACAUGUUACCCUCGACAUUUAGCAGUCGACAUUUAACCCUCGACUUUUUACCCUCGACUUUUUACCCUCACCCUCGACUUUUUGCCCUCGCCCUCGACAUUUAACUCUCGACACUCGAC